AGGAAUUCUGUUGAUCGAGGGGAAGGUGUUAGGCACCCCUCGAUCCCGUGGUUCAACCACGGUCGCUUGGGUAAAGUGUAUCAACUAUUUUGGCAUUAUGCACUGUAUAAACCACACAAAAGCACGCAAAAUAAUCAAACAAUAAACAAAACCAAACAAUUCAAAAUGUAAAGUCCAGUCCAAUUAUACAGUCCAAAAAUAAAAAAAAUACGAAAAUAUAAAUCCUAGUCUAAACCAAUUUUAUACUAAGCUCCAAUGCCUUACCCGAUGCCGCGAGCCUUCAUCGCGAUCAUUUUUUGCCAACAUAGUACGUCGGGGCAUUCCCUGGUGAAUAAAUAUAUACAUAUACUUCAGGGCAUUCCCCGGCCAAAUUAUACAAUUGAAUUAAAUGCGAUAAAAAAAACAAAACCAUUCCAACACAUAUUUCAAACAUGUCUUCAAUCCACCAUGCCUAAAUUUGCCUACCCGAACCUACCAUUUGCAUAUCCAAUUAGCGACCUAAAAUCGUGACACUAUCGAAUUUAAUCGAGUCGAUGCUUAUCGCGAAUUAAGCGACUAUCAAUGAAUCAACAUAAACUAAUGUUCACUUUUAUCAAUUUUAAUUCCACCCCAAACUAUCAAUCUUAAUUCUCCAAACAAGAUAUUAUCUCAUCACAUAAUCCAUAAUCAAUCCACAAUCAAGGGAAUUAAAAUACCAAACCAGAACAACAACAAUUCACAUCAUUACGAGUCAACUAACACACAAUAUUAGAAUCAAUGCAUCGAAUACCAUCAACAAUAAAACAAAAGAGGUAAAGAGUAGAAUUAGACCUCGAUGACGACUUUAUUACAAAUAUCAGUCAAUCAAA
rnacentral:lncRNA from 1 species